rnacentral:rRNA from 1 species
GAGUUUGAUCUUGGCUCAGAUUGAACGCUGGCGGCAUGCCUUACGCAUGCAAGUCGAACGGCAGCACGGGAGCUUGCUCCUGGUGGCGAGUGGCGAACGGGUGAGUAAUGCAUCGGAACGUAUCCUGGAGUGGGGGAUAACGUAGCGAAAGUUACGCUAAUACCGCAUAUUCUGUGAGCAGGAAAGCGGGGGACCUUCGGGCCUCGCGCUCUUGGAGCGGCCGAUGUCGGAUUAGCUAGUUGGUGAGGUAAAGGCUCACCAAGGCGACGAUCCGUAGCAGGUCUGAGAGGAUGAUCUGCCACACUGGAACUGAGACACGGUCCAGACUCCUACGGGAGGCAGCAGUGGGGAAUUUUGGACAAUGGGGGCAACCCUGAUCCAGCCAUGCCGCGUGAGUGAAGAAGGCCUCGGUUGUAAGUAC